rnacentral:rRNA from 1 species
GGCUUAUUUGACUCAACACGGGGAAACUCACCAGGUCCAGACAAAAUAAGGAUUGACAGAUUGAGAGCUCUUUCUUGAUCUUUUGGAUGGUGGUGCAUGGCCGUUCUUAGUUGGUGGAGUGAUUUGUCUGCUUAAUUGCGAUAACGAACGAGACCUCGGCCCUUAAAUAGCCCGGUCCGCAUUUGCGGGCCGCUGGCUUCUUAGGGGGACUAUCGGCUCAAGCCGAUGGAAGUGCGAGGCAAUAACAGGUCUGUGAUGC